UGGACCUGUGAUGACCGAUGGUGGCGUAUGAGUCCUUUGCGAUGAAUGCUACGUGUCUGGAAGUCUGAGGUCCAA
ensembl:snoRNA